UCACGGAAACUUGGAGUAGACGCCACAACUUGAGGUGCGCAGGUUCUCUGUGAUGUGUAAUGACAGCUGUUGUAGUGUUGGAUUAGGGCCAGCCCACGAAAGGACUAUUCUCGAUGCCCCUAGCAGUUAUAAAUACAUUGAGAAAGCCUCUGGAUCUGAAAUCUUCAACUGGGAAAGUACAAUGUGUUCAGUAAUAUUCCGCUACUCUUCAAAAGCUGAAGCGAAAGUGAUGGAGUGCUUACCUGGGCCAUCAGAUGAGUCAAACGGACACUACCUUAGACAUACACAGGCGCUAGUUCCAGUCAAGAGCCUAUUGCUGCUAUCAAUAGUGUGAAUAUGACCCUCACCUGUAAAACAAGAACAGUAACCUACUUCGGCCACCAUGAGAUGAACAGACUUCCUCCACCACACGCUUCUGCCGCUAUGAUCUACUGUACCAACACAGGUCCAAAGCAACAAGGCCCAGUGACUGCAGACUGAGACUUCUGAAGCUAUGAAGUUUCUUUUAAGGAAUUUUCUCAGGGACAAUUCAAGUUCAAGAGGUGUGGCUGACUUUGUGGUUUGCCCUAAUUUGUGGAGUAAGAGUAACAGGAAAUGACAACAAGAAUAACAACAGCUCUAUUGUAUGUGGCACAUCAGGAAAUCCUAUACCUUCCUCACCAUCAUCACCCCCUUUCAACAACCCACACCCACUGCUUGCUAAUGCACAGGACCCAGCUCUAAUCCCAGAGAUACUUCUCAUUACUGUGGUAUCCAGCACAGUUGUGUUGCACAAGACAUCUGAGAAACAUUUCACAAUACUGCAUGACACAUCCUCUUCCUACAUGUGUAAGUAUGUGAUUCUAGGUAUAAUUCUGGUUCCUCUGUUUCUCCCUGGAGCUUGCUGCAUGUUUCUCCCUGGAGCUUGCUGCAUGUGUCUCCAGGAUCCUGCACUCCCCUGGCACCUGCCUGUGUGGUCUCUGUGGAGUGUCUGCAUCUCCCUCUCUAAACACUUGGCAACAUGGAGAAAAGCCCAGUGAGAAUGUUCCUCUGGAGCAGGCCACCUGCUUUUUGAUCUGACAUUUGAUGGUUCCAGGUUCCAGAGAUACUGAGCAGCCCUGAGUCUAGUGGGAAGCCUGGUGGUCAGGAGCAGAGCCCCUGGGGAACUAGGGGGAGAGGACCAGGCUACCACAUUUUAGGCUGUCAGCUGCUUCCCCUCCCUCUGGCUGCAGGACGCUCAGCAGAUGCUGUUUAGGGUGAGCCUGGGAACUCACCCAUCUUCUGGGAGCACAUCUGAGGCCUGCAAAUGCAGCAUGUAUUUGCAAUGGUUGGGGCAGGUUCUGGGUCAGUCCAGAGGACCUUGGAACAGGAUCCAGCCUGGUAGGAAAGUUUGGAUUCUAACCUGGAGAUUGUCACUGACCUUUUAAAUCAAUUAUGCUUCUGAGAAGCAACUGUCUUCAUGGUUCCCAGUGUAUUCAUCAAGCUAGUGAUUUUGCAGAUUUACCAAGAAUAUAGAUUAAUUCCAAUUCCAUUUAGUUCAAAUUAAUUGGUGGGGUCUUCCCCUUCCUCUCCCUUUUCAUUCCUCCACCCUUUCUUCUUUUUCUCCUCUUUCUCUUCCUCUUCCUUCUCUUCCUUUUCCUCCUUUCUUCUUCCCCUCAUCCUCUCCUUCCCAUUCUAAUUGAGAUAAGAUCUGGCUAUGUGGUCUCUAAUUCCUAGGCUCAAAUGAUCCUCUUGUUUCAGCCUCCCAAGUAGCUGGGCGUAUAGGCAUACACCACUAUGUGCAGCUUCAUUCAUUUUAAAAGCAAGCCCCUAGCAGAUAUGCAUGCUGAGCCUUCUCACCUCUCUCCCAUUCUUUAGUUUAUGUGUCAGAGAGGUCCCAGGCCUUAGUCCUUAUCUCUCUGUCCUAAAGAAGCCAUGGCUCAGGCCAGAUCCCUGGCCUCCAGCUGUGCAGCCAGGCCAUGCUGCCUACUCUGGUACUUGACUGUAGCAGCCUCCCCAUGCUGUGUCUGGCCACGUGUUAUGGUACCUUCCUUCCUGUACCCUCAUACUCUGUGGAAAGCUCAGCUGGCGUCCUUACCUGCUGCACUCUGAGUCCCUCCCUCUGGUGCUUGUAUCCAGGCCUGGGGCUUUGGAUCCCCUAGGUCCCUGCUAUGGGGAAUCUGGUACUAUGAAGACUGGGCCAGUUGGGAAACUCAGGGACUCCUGUAGAGCAGUGAAGUGCAUAAGUGCUAAUGGCCAUACCAUUCUGGGCCUAGAAAGGAGCACUCUGACCCACUCCCUUGUGCCAUGAAGGCGAAGUAGGUAAGUGUUGUGGCACAACCUUUUUGUCCUUUCCCAUGUGAUAAAAAUGUUCACAUUAUCAUCAGCUAGAAAGUUGAGACUCUGGUGACCCUGGAGGAAGAGGGGAAGGUGGGAGAGAAGAAGAAAGCCAAGAGUCUGGGAAAGAACCAACUGGAGCGAACCCCGGUAGCCUCACAUGUGUCAGCCUCCAUCCUGCUGCACCAGCUGCAAUGGGAAUGGCUAUGGAGUGACUGCUUUGAGUUGAUUUAUAGUGUAAAUCUCUUAUUUUGUUUGGACUAAAUGAGACACUUUCACAAUCAAGUCAUUUUAAAUUUUCAUCAUUCCACAAAGGUUGAGUUAGUCCAUAAUCCCAGAAGCCUCUGGAGAAUCAUGUCUGUACUCACACUGUGCUGUGGCACAGAGGGGCCAUGACCACUGAGGCCAAGGGUGUACUUGCUACAGCCAGCAAUUAAAGAUGUACACAGCACUCUCAUGGCUGCAGAGGCACAACAGGAUCUCUACAGAAGCACAGAAAGAAAUCAAGGGAGGAGGAAGGGAGAUUUACCCUUUAAGGCCACAUGACCAGUGACCCACCUUCUCCAACCGGGCGUCACUUUCCAAUAUCACAUUUAGCCAUUUAGCUCAGUGGGCUAAUCCACUGAUGAGUAUCACAUCCCCAUAAUCUGAUCACCUCCCACCCCACCUAUGAGUGCAUGAGGCUUUGGGGGACAUUUAGAUAUAAACCAUAACAUUCCACCUCUGGUCCUCAAAAGACUUAUGCACAUCCCUUUAUCUAAAAUGCAUUUCUUAGUCCAUUUCUAAGAGCUGCCAAAAUCCUAACAGUUUCAGCAUUUCUGAUAAGUCCAAGUUCAAAGACUCCUCUGAGAUUUAAGGCAAACCUGUACAAGGUCUCCCUGUACAAAUGAAAAGAAAGUUAAACAGUUCUAGCACACAAUGGCACAGGGUAAACAUUCCCAUUCCAAAAGACAGAAAUAGGGGUUAGAAAUGAACGGGGCCAAAGCAAGGACAAAAUUCAGCAGGACAAAUGUUAACAUUCUACCUUCUGUAGAAAUAUUAUUUUUAUUAAAAUAUCAAGUCAACAUCUCUGUAAGAGCUUAAAGUAAUAAUUUUGGAACCAUUUAACAUAUAAUAAGUCAACAUUGAAACGAUCAGAGCUGUCUAAGUGUCUGCUCUUGGGACAAUGCUGUGGGCUGUGCCCAGCUGCUCAGUGAGCUCCCUGAGCCUGGCAUGCUGCUUCCAGGUCAGACUCCAGCCUUGUUUUCUCUGGGGUAUCUCAAGUACUGGAGCAGCUUCUGAGAGCCCAAGCCCUGGUUCCAGGCCUCUUUCCUUGUGGCAUGUGUCUUCAGGGUGGGGAGACCUAUGUCUCUUAUCCUGGGACAGCAGACCUACUAGGUUGAACAUGCUGAUGGGGACAAGCAACCAGCUCAAAAGGCACCACUGACUACAGUGAGGACCGAGUGUGCAUCAAAGCAAAAUGAGAUUGUUUGUGAACAACAAAUAAAAAUCCACCGACUGGCGCGGGGGGGCGGGGAAGGGACGGGACGG